UACGAAGGGGGCUAGCGUUGCUCGGAAUCACUGGGCGUAAAGCGCACGUAGGCGGCUUUCUAAGUCAGGGGUGAAAUCCUGGAGCUCAACUCCAGAACUGCCUUUGAUACUGGAGAGCUUGAGUCCGGAAGAGGUGAGUGGAACUCCGAGUGUAGAGGUGAAAUACGUAGAUAUUCGCAAGAACACCAGUGGCGAAGGCGGCUCACUGGCCCGAUACUGACGCUGAGGUGCGAAAGCGUGGGGAGCAAACAGG
rnacentral:rRNA from 1 species